rnacentral:rRNA from 1 species
UACGUAGGUGGCAAGCGUUGUCCGGAUUUAUUGGGCGUAAAGAGCGCGCAGGCGGUCGUUCAAGUCGCGUGUGAAAGCCCCCGGCUCAACUGGGGAGGGUCACGCGAUACUGAUCGACUCGAAGGCAGGAGAGGGAAGUGGAAUUCCCGGUGUAGUGGUGAACUGCGUAGAUAUCGGGAGGAACACCGGUGGCGAAGGCGACUUCCUGGCCUGUUCUUGACGCUGAGGCGCGAAAGCUAGGGGAGCAAACGGG